UACGUAGGGGGCAAGCGUUGUCCGGAAUCAUUGGGCGUAAAGCGCGUGUAGGCGGUUCGAUAAGUCUGCUGUGAAAGUCCAGGGCUCAACCCUGGGAUGCCGGUGGAUACUGUCGGGCUAGAGUGCGGAAGAGGCGAGUGGAAUUCCUGGUGUAGCGGUGAAAUGCGUAGAUAUCGUAAGGAAGACCAGUGGCGAAGGCGGGUCUCUGGA
rnacentral:rRNA from 1 species